UGGCCUGUAACAGGAAAAGCCUCUCUACUUUGAUGGAAACUGUCAAUGAGAAAGUUGUAGCUGGUGAGAUGAAUAUUCAAUACCUGAUGUUUCAUGGACCGGUGGAAUUCAGAAGAGGCUGUAGCAGUAAGAACUGUCAUCUCCAUUUGUACAGAGACUUCUUGGUUGUGACUAAUAGUUGGUUUUAGAUAACCUUCAAAAUAAAAUACAUCAUCCCGCUGACUGCCCUGUGGAUGGGGGAGUGUGUGGUCACCGACUUUGUAGGCCCUAGUCGGGCCAGGAAAUCCAUUCUCCUGCGAUGGCCCAUGGAGAAUUUUGUGGCCACCUUUCGUUCCUCUGCCCAAAAAAGAGAGUGGUAUACUUUACUUCAAAGGUAUCUUGUAACGGUACAUAUUUUACUUCUUUAAUUUGUUAGGAAAGAAUGAGAUUCUCUGCUAACCAACACCCUAAUCUGCUCACCUUUUUUGUUUUUAUGUCUUUACAAAUUUAUCUUCUCAACUCCUCUGAGAUCCACCCCCUUCUCUAUCAACAUAACACAGUGUCCUUUUUCACAAAAUACACUUUGAUCAUGUUUUCCCUCUCCUAGUUCCUCUUAGAUUCUUCCUACAUACCCACCUUUAGGUUCUUUUUCUCCCCUUCUGUCUUUCAAAACCUACAAAUCAGAAGAAAAAGAAACAAUCUCUCCACCCAAAAUAGUCACACACACCCCUCUUUAUAAACAAAAGGAUGUUAAGGAAAAAAUACCAAAACAAAGGAAGAUAA